rnacentral:pre_miRNA from 1 species
GGUAUAUAAGAACCCGUCUCUUAACUUUUAACUAAAAAGUUAAGAACCGGUUCUUAACUUUUUUAGUUAAAAGUUAAGAGACGGGUUCUUAUAUUCC